CUGAAGAGACCUUUUCGAGCGUCAGAAGAAACCACUGAGAACAUUGUAAGGGCAUGUGUGGCGCUUCACAAUUUUGUGAUGAAAGAUUCGGUGUUCGCAAGGACAACGUACAACCCUCCUGGAUUUGUUGAACAUGAAGACUGGGAGGGAAAUGUCACAAAUGGGGCAUAGAGGAACGACAGUAGUGCCCUUCCUGGAUAGACAGACCAGGGGUACCACUCUGCUCGGGCUGCAUUGGAAGUAAGGGAUAGACUGGCAUCCUACUUCAUGAGUGACGGCCAGGUGCCACGGCAGGAAAGUGUCGUGACCCGUGCAGGACGGCAGGAAAUGUGAACCAUGCCAGUACCUAGAGGAAGGUCCAUUGGAUGCUCGCCUUUUGGCAGACCUGCAGGACAGGCCACAUCAUUACACUCAAGAAAUGCACUGGAAAAGUAUGUCUGCUUCCAAUCAAAGAAAGUGCGCACAACUUUCUUACCCUGGAUCUGGGGCAGUGGCUCCUGCUUGUGAAGUUGACAACCUGCCUCAAACAAAUGUUUGUUAUGGUGUCAUAUUCCGACACAAAGAAGUGAACACGAACUUACCCUGAAGAGCCAGCAGCAGAUGCCGCACCUUCUGAUG